UGGCGGCGUGCUUAACACAUGCAAGUCGAACGAUGAAGCCGCUUCGGUGGUGGAUUAGUGGCGAACGGGUGAGUAACACGUGGGCAAUCUGCCCUGCACUCUGGGACAAGCCCUGGAAACGGGGUCUAAUACCGGAUAUGACCUGGUGAGGCAUCUUACCGGGUGGAAAGCUCCGGCGGUGCAGGAUGAGCCCGCGGCCUAUCAGCUUGUUGGUGGGGUGAUGGCCUACCAAGGCGACGACGGGUAGCCGGCCUGAGAGGGCGACCGGCCACACUGGGACUGAGACACGGCCCAGACUCCUACGGGAGGCAGCAGUGGGGAAUAUUGCACAAUGGGCGCAAGCCUGAUGCAGCGACGCCGCGUGAGGGAUGACGGCCUUCGGGUUGUAAACCUCUUUCAGCAGGGAAGAAGCGCAAGUGACGGUACCUGCAGAAGAAGCGCCGGCUAACUACGUGCCAGCAGCCGCGGUAAUACGUAGGGCGCGAGCGUUGUCCGGAAUUAUUGGGCGUAAAGAGCUCGUAGGCGGCUUGUCGCGUCGGAUGUGAAAGCCCGGGGCUUAACCCCGGGUCUGCAUUCGAUACGGGCAGGCUAGAGUUCGGUAGGGGAGAUCGGAAUUCCUGGUGUAGCGGUGAAAUGCGCAGAUAUCAGGAGGAACACCGGUGGCGAAGGCGGAUCUCUGGGCCGAUACUGACGCUGAGGAGCGAAAGCGUGGGGAGCGAACAGGAUUAGAUACCCUGGUAGUCCACGCCGUAAACGUUGGGAACUAGGUGUGGGCGACAUUCCACGUUGUCCGUGCCGCAGCUAACGCAUUAAGUUCCCCGCCUGGGGGAGUACGGCCGCAAGGCUAAA
rnacentral:rRNA from 1 species